rnacentral:rRNA from 1 species
CAGCCGCUGGUGAUACUGUGAGGGUGCAAGCGUUAAUCGGAAUUACUGGGCGUAAAGCGCACGCAGGCGGUUUGUUAAGUCAGAUGUGAAAUCCCCGGGCUCAACCUGGGAACUGCAUCUGAUACUGGCAAGCUUGAGUCUCGUAGAGGGGGGUAGAAUUCCAGGUGUAGCGGUGAAAUGCGUAGAGAUCUGGAGGAAUACCGGUGGCGAAGGCGGCCCCCUGGACGAAGACUGACGCUCAGGUGCGAAAGCGUGGGGAGCAAACAGGAUUAGAUACCCUGGUAGUCCACGCCGUAAACGAUGUCGACUUGGAGGUUGUGCCCUUGAGGCGUGGCUUCCGGAGCUAACUCGUUAAGUCGACCGCCUGGGGAGUACGGCCGCCAGG